UACAGAGGUCUCAAGCGUUGUUCGGAUUCAUUGGGCGUAAAGGGUGCGUAGGCGGCGCGGUAAGUCGGGUGUGAAAUCUCGGAGCUUAACUCCGAAACUGCAUUCGAUACUGCCGUGCUUGAGGACUGGAGAGGAGACUGGAAUUUACGGUGUAGCGGUGAAAUGCGUAGAUAUCAGGAGGAACACCGGUGGCGAAGGCGGUUCUCUGGGCAUGUCCUGACGCUGAGGAGCGAAAGUGUGGGGAGCGAACAGG
rnacentral:rRNA from 1 species